rnacentral:lncRNA from 1 species
GAUGGGAAGAUUCACUUCCGUCUUCCUCUCCUGCCUCUCCUUCCUCCUCUUCGUCGUUCUUCUCCCACACGUCUCUUCGCGGCCAGCGGCCAUGCCCGCUCGACGCAGCAUCGUCGGCGAGACCUGCAACCAGAUCGCGAGAGGCGAUCCCAACGUGGACUUCACCUUCUGUUCGCAGUCGCUGCGGUCGGCCGCCGGAAGCGACGGCGCGGACCUGCACGGCCUCGCCAUCAUAUCGCUAAAGCUGGCGGUCGCCAACGCGACGUCCGCCGCGACCCGGGCGAAGGCGCUGCUGAAGGGCAACGGCCUGAGCCGGUACUACAAGUCGUGCCUGGACGCCUGCCGCGAAGUCUACGCCGACGCCGCGUCGGAUCUCCGCGACGCCACCGGGAUGAUCAGAUCCGGCCGCCUUGUCGACGCCAGGGUGUACAUCAGCGCCGCCGUGGACGCGCCCGUCGUGUGCGAGGACGGGUUCCAAGAAGGUGGACUCGCCUCGCCGCUGGCGGAGGAAGACGGCGACCUGAUGCAGCUUGCUGUCAUCGCCCUCGCCCUCGCCGUUCGACUGGGUUGAUUGAUUACCGCACAGGUUUAAAGCACCAGGCAGGUGAUUGGCACGGUUAAUGUUGGUCUGGAAUCGAUCAGAUCACUUGCAGUGGGUUUGAUGCUCUUC